GCCAGAACAACCACAGCUCCCAGUGGAGUGAAUGAGCUGGAGAUCAGUUCAGUUAAAGUUCCAGGGCCGGUUCAGAGCCAGUGGCAGAUCUGGAACCAGUUUGUGUUUCCGCGGCCAAAGAACUGCUGCCAGUCAGACAAACUGGUUCCAGAGGCCGGAGGUGGGACCACAACAGACAACACGAUGGUGGACGAACUAAUUCACAUGCAGAUCUCCUUUGUGUGAUCCUGAUAUGGAACAUUCACAGGAACAUGAGGUCCCCGUGACCUUGACCUUCCUUUGGUAAGGGUCAUAUUGACUUUGACCUCAAAUCCUAGUAGUUUAAUCCGCUCCAGGACGAAGGAUGUUGAUACCUUCUUUACCUCUUUCCUCCUUCCUCCUUCCUCCUUCCUCCUUCCUCGGAUGGAAAAUCCAAACCGAGAUUCUUUAGUGAAACUAGAGUCGAGUUCCUUCACAGACCAAUAAAAAGAAGGAAAACUCAGAACUUUCCCAGGUCUCCCUCCAUCAUUCGAGGUAAGACCCAUGUCAGCAGCGCCGCUAGCUGUGGGCGUGGCCUGAGACUCGACUGUAGCCUCAACUCUGUCAGGUGACGGCUCGGGGGGGGCACAUUCGUCUCUCAUUCCCUGUCAUCUCUUCAUCCAGACCUCAA